AAGCACUGAGUGGUUCCCAGAUUCAGUGGAAGCCAGACAUCCUAUCUAAACCUCUAGAACACCAGGGUCCCGGCUGCUGAGAAUCCCAGGCACAUGAGGCUGCUUGGGAAAGACUGGAGAAGUGCCAGGAGGAUUAAUUACAGCAGUUAAUGUUUCCAUUUGAAAGGAGAUGAUACCCUGAUCGAAUUAUACUCUGCUCCUUGCCCCAUCUAAUAUUUAUUUGCACAUUAAAGAUAACACGACUGGCUAGAAUUGGCUUCUGAAUAUGUGUGCUCCUUAUCAAGGCCAUAGUUUACAGCUUUGCUAGCGAGAGCUAUGCUAAUGAACUACUUUAUCUUUUUUUUUUUUUUUUUUGAGACGGAGUCUUCGCUCUGUCGUCCAGGCUGGAGUGCAGUGGCGUGAUCUCGGCUUACUGCAACCUCCACCUCCCAGGUUCAAGUGAUUCUCCUGCCUCAGCCUCCCCAGUAGCUGGGACUACUACAGGCGUGCGCCACCACGCCCAGCUAAUUUUAGCAUUUUUAGUAGAGACAGGAUUUCACCAUGUUGGCCAGGAUGGUCCCAAUCUCUUGACCUCGUGAUCGGCCCUCCUCGGCCUUCCAAAGUUCUGGGAUUACAGGCGUGAGCCACUGCGCCCAGCCGGACUAUUUUAUCUUAAAGAGAGACUUGGAAGAGAGACUGCUGGAAUCCCUAAAGUCUCCCUGGAUCUGAUAUAAUCAUGGCUGGCUGACUCAACAGCAGCGGCUUGCCAAUAAAAUGCAAUACGGAACACCUGGA